CAUCCAUGAAUGUGUAUGUAUGUGUAUAAUUUCUUGUAUCUGUGUGGAUGUACAUGUGUGCCUUGAUUUCAUUUUCUGUCGCUCUGGAUCGAAUUUGUGCUUCUUUCUUUUUUUUGAUAACCGAGGUGUCUGGAUUAGCUUAUGCGCAACCCGGCUAGUUCUAGGAUCAAUUCCACCGCCCACUUGUGGGUACCCAAUUAAAGCCAGGGAUGGGUACAUGAGAGGUUUCGAACCUAAGGCCUUAGGAGGGAGCAAACCUCUAAUUCCUGGGCGUUAACCUAAAAUUUGUGCUUCUUAGCGAGACCAUUCAGACAUAUGCCAUAAAGUCAACCAUGACUGAAGACAGGGUAAACGGAUAUUUGAAGCUUCUAAGAAUGGCUCUUGUGGGUUUGCUCGGGUAGGGAAUGAGUCAAUAGUAAAGAAAGAAAUGGCCUUCCUGGGAGCGGGUUUCGCUUUCAGGCUGGAAGCGACACCUCACCUUGUUGAUCCGAUCAAAUAUUUCGAGCCGGCUUCCGUGGAAAUUUCAGACUUUCUUUUUGAUGCUGCGAUCACUUGGACACCCGAGUUAUAAAACAAUGUUAUCAGGUGAUACGGGAUAAAAAUGUAUUUUCUAGUUGUAGUAUUCUCUAGGUCGUUCUAGUUCACCCCUUUGUUUGUGGGAAAAUCACAGGGGAAGAAUCGGACGCCAAAAUUUCCCACUUGAACCGAACACUAUAACCCCCUUUUGGGUUAAUCCUAAACCCUAAAAACUCUCAAGGAAAAAACCCACAAAAAAAAUUGAGCUGAAAGACAUGGACGAGUCAUCCCCAUCCCCUCAGCGCAUGUGUGCACGGGAGAUGGUCGAUCUCCUCAAUUGCGUCACUGCCUCCCCUUUCGAUCAAGACAAAUGCCUCUGUCUCUUGCACUCCUUGCGUGACUGCGUCCAAGUCAAGCCUUGAGCUUGAUUACGAGGAUGGAGUGAGGGGCGGAUGGGUCCGCGCGACUGCCCUACCGUUGUUUCUAAUUUCUGUUUGAAUUAUAGUAGCUUUUAUUGAGAAAACAAAGUGAAGAAAUUCACUUUGAAAGAACAGAAUGAAGCGAAAGUGGAUUCAAAGAGCAAGAAGAAUGAUUAGACUACGUAUGGGUUGCAGAUAUAUCAUACUGAGACACAAGGUUCCUUCAUUUGUUUUAGAGUGGAUAGGCAGCUACGACUGAGAUUAUUCUGUAGUUCAACCUUAAUCCAUGGUAAAACAGACUCUGACAGAGUUCAUUGCCUGAACUCCAGAAUUGUUCUAGACAAAUGGUUAAUGACACAGGUGGAAGGAUUGACGAUUGUGAUUAGUCUGGAUCAUUUAGUUACAAAUUUGAUUUGGUUGAAGGUUAUUUCAAUGAAUGUAGAACCUAAAUUGCAAACAGUGGCCAGUUGGGUUUUUUUGUAACUCA